rnacentral:rRNA from 1 species
UACGUAGGGACCAAGCGUUGUUCGGAUUUACUGGGCGUAAAGGGCGCGUAGGCGGCAAUUCAAGUCAUCUGUGAAAUCUCCGGGCUUAACUCGGAACGGUCAGAUGAUACUGCUUUGCUAGAGUACAGAAGGGGCAAUCGGAAUUCUUGGUGUAGCGGUGAAAUGCGUAGAUAUCGAGAGGAACACCUGAGGUGAAGACGGGUUGCUGGGCUGAUACUGACGCUGAGGCGCGAAAGCUAGGGUAGCAAACGGG